rnacentral:lncRNA from 1 species
CCCCAGUCCCCUGAGAACGCAGCCUGUGAUUUACAUAUGUGUGCAUGUAAAUACACAAACGCACACAUGGCCACCCUUGGCACCCGCAGGGGAGGGCUGCCAGGACCCCCUUGCUCAUGUCCCUGACGUAAACUGGUGCAGUGUCUGCCUAGAACCCACCCGCGUCCUGCCAAACCAUAAAUCACCAUAGGUUACUACAAACGCAAACGCGAUGUCGCCGCGGGCGAUGGCUGUUGCAUGGCAUUGCUUCGGGAAAACUGGCCCAAAAAAUCUGCAUGUGUUCAGUACAGAUAAGAACACAAAUCUUUUCCCCAAAUAUUUUCAACCUACAGCUGGUGAAAUCCACAGCUGCAGGAACCCAUGGCUAGUGAGGGCCAACUGCAGUACACGGGGGAGCGUGAGUGUGUGUGUGAAGAGAGAGAGAAUGGAAUCAAGCGAAUGAAAGCGUGAGUGUGUGUGGAGAGAGAGAACGGAAUCAAGCAAAUGACAGCGCGUGUGUGUGGAGAGAGAACGGAAUCAAGCGAAUGAGAACGUGAGUGUGUGUGUGGAGAGAGAACGGAAUCAAGCGAAUGACAGCGCGUGAGUGUGUGUGGAGAGAGAACGGAAUCAAGCGAAUGAGAACGCGAGUGUGUGUGUGGAGAGAGAACGGAAUCAAGCGAAUGACAGCGCGUGAGUGUGUGUGGAGAGAACGGAAUCAAGCGAAUGAGAACGCGAGUGUGUGUGGAGAGAGAGAAGAGAGUCAAGCGAAUGAGAACACGAGUGUGCGUGGAGAGAGAGAACAGAGUCAAGCGAAUGAGAGCGCAUGAGUGUGUGUGGAGAGAGAACGGAAUCAAGUGAAUGAGAGCGCGUGAGUGUGUGUGGAGAGAGAGAACAGAGUCAAGCGAAUGAGAGCGCAUGAGUGUGUGUGGAGAGAGAGAACGGAAUCAAGCGAAUGAGAGCGCGUGAGUGUGUGUGUGGAGAGAGAACGGAAUCAGGCGAAUGAGAGCGCGUGAGUGUGUGUGUGGAGAGAGAGAACAGAGUCAAGCGAAUGAGAGCGCGUGAGUGUGUAUGUGGAGAGAGAGAACGGAAUCAAGCGAAUGAGAGCGCGUCAGUGUGUGUGUGGAGAGAGAGAACGGAAUCAAGCGAAUGAGAGCGCGUGAGUGUGUGUGUGGAGAGAGAACAGAGUCAAGCGAAUGAGAGCGCGUGAGGGUGUGUGGAGAGAGAGAACGGAAUCAGGCGAACGAGAGCGCGUGUGUGUGGAGAGAGAACGGAAUCAAGUGAACGAGAGCGCGUGAGUGUGUGUGGAGAGAGAGAACGGAAUCAAGCGAACGAGAGCGCGUGAGUGUGUGUGUGGAGAGAGAGAACGGAUUCAGGCGAAUGAGAG